CCACACCUCCCAGUGGUGCCCCUGUUUCUAUGCAUGCGGGUGAAGGCAGAUCUGGAACCCUGUCAUGUCAAGGUUAGAUGUAAUUAAUAAAGGAGAUGCACUGAGCA
rnacentral:lncRNA from 1 species